GGGCGGCUAGCUCAAAUGGUAGAGCGCUCGCUUAGCAUGCGAGAGGUAGGGGGAUCGACGCCCCCGUCGUCCA
rfam:Babesia microti strain RI chromosome IV, complete genome.